GUCAACGGGCAUAUCACGUAGGACAUACUGGUUCUCGUCAGAUCACCAAAGUCAAGCUACGUUGAGCACGGUUAGUACUUGGAUGGGUGACCGCUUAGGAACAUCGUGUCCUGUUGACC